rnacentral:rRNA from 1 species
UUAAGCUAGACCUUUGAAGCAUCUCGGUUUAGCGGUUUGUUCGAGUCAUGAGGUGACGAUGCCAUGCGUCGCCGAACUGACGUCCCGUGGUUCUGUCGUCGAUGUGGUUGUCGGAAGGAACCAGACGAGGGGGUUGAGGUGGCGAGACGACUCGGCGGUACCGCCUCGACCUCCGGCCCAGGUAGAGGUACCGCCGGCCGCCGCCGCCGGCUGAGGCCUUGCGGGACUCGCCGCACGACACACGAAAGUGGGAGGAGGAGUAGCCGCAGGAGCGGAAGAGGUAGGCGGAGAAGAGGCACUAGUUCAUGCUCUCGCACUAGGUGCUCAAGCUAGGGAUGAAGUUGAUGGCGCAGUGAGUCAAAAACAGUUUCUCACCUUAGAUGCUCAAAACCUUGACCAAACUGCUGGCUUGUACCAUGGGGGAGCCUGCACAAUAACCACCGUGACAGAUAGGACCGAACUGUGACUGCCGGCCGUGCUAUACCACCAACGAGUUGAGGGAGUUGUAGGGUAACAGCCACCUCUGACAGACGCACAAGUGGCGAGGUUAAAAAAGCCGUUUACGAAGGACCCGUUGGAUAGACAACUGUUUCCUUCGCUUCCCAGUACCCCGACCAAAUUACCGUCGUUGAUAGAAUCGCUACCAGGGGAGUAUGUAGAGUUCUAGACAACGUCCGUCGAUGCUAUUGCUUCGACAUCGUUAUAAACGAAAUUAUAAGUGUAAAAUAGAUAUACAUUUCUGUGAUUUGUGCCCCAGUGAGAAAAUACGUUGUGAAUUACGAGAGAGAAUGAAAAUGUACCAGACAAGGACCCCUCCGAUGUGUAAGUAGUAGUUGGAAUAGGGUUACGUACAAGAGGACACAUAACAUUGACCAGCAAUAAGAAGUGCUGAAAUACAACGAAUACGAGGGGAACAACAUGACCCUUGUGAAGACCGUCGUAACCAUGGACACCAACCAAAAUUACGUCAUAACUGUAGUCUCGUGAAACGUAGUAAAGACCACAAAUAUUAGGAGGUACACCAACGAGAACACAUAAUGUAGUUUCCUGAAAAUUGAGGAGCCGACAAGUUUCACCGGUACUGUAAGCAUGAUUGCCAACCGAAUCGGGAAACAAAGCGACAUCAUCGCUAUGAACGACGUAACCAGCGUAGAUCGGGUUGUUUUCCAACCUCACCCGCGUCAAACUCAGAUGAACUGGGUUGUAUACGUUCGUUCAUGUAGGGAUAGUAACGAUCGCACUCGCUUGUAGUUGGUGGAUGGACCGGAAGAAUGAAAUACCGAUAGUUACACGAUCGGAAGAAUCAAGGACGACCCUAGUAUAGUACGAAGAAUGGAAAUAGACUACGUUCGAGUAAAAACCAGAACAUGAACCAUUGAAGUCAUAUAAAGAGACCCCAUUACCAUGCUGACUACGAACAAGAACGGGGACGACACACGUAAAACAGGCCCUAACGAGACAGUCUUCGAAAAUUGCAGGAGUGUGCUAGUUACUUUAAAGUCGCGGGUUAUAGUCUACUAUGGGAAGGAUGACGUCCUCUAUCAUGGGGUCCCUCAAGGUCAUGUCGGUGAUAGUGUUGAAGGUGCUUUUUACGCUUGUAUUUUUUUCUUUUUUACCCCUGAUAAAGUUUCCUUUCUAGUAGUUUCUUCUCAGCCUUCCUUUGUCUUAACCACCCUUCAAGAGGACAAUCCGGGCUUUUCCUCCUCUUCGAAACACAUGACGGAAGACUUCGUAGACGGUACCCAUAUGACAAGGACUAGUACGAAACACCUGAAAUACACUAGGUAACACAUACCCGUCGACGUCUUCGUAUGAGACGUGGGAGUUAACACGACUGUAGUGCAAGUGUGCUGUCCAACGUACAAAUACUGCUAAAGGCACUUAGAAUACGUACCGACGCGGUAUUGUGUCUUCAUCUGCUAUUCCAACGCAGUACCACCCUGAUACCAAUAGUCUGUUGACGUUACCGGUUGUCCUGACACUAACAUCUGUUAUUAUGGACCUUAUUGUGCGUGUAUCGCUGUCAACCCUGUCGUUACAGUAGGGGUCUUUUUCCUCGUACCCUCUAGAAGUUAAGGAAUCUACAGUUUAUACACGAACACCAGAAACCUCCAGAAUAACCGAUGGGUUCACUACUAUAAUUAUUCAAGGAGACCUACCAAGCUUAGCCUCCACCACUUAAGGGAGUGUAGUUCCUUGUCCUAAUGGAAUCCCUACCGUUGAUGGCACAACUACGAGUCCCGUGAGGUUGCUACGACUUAACGGAGUACAUGUUCGAAAGAAUAAUGUCUAAGCGACUCUGACUACCGUUCCCUAAACUGUCUCGCUCUUCUAUACUUUAUCCUUCCUUCGUAAAAUUUGACUGGGUAAAACUCCUCCAAAAAUGUUGGGUCGUGACCUACCAAUCCUAAAUGUUUGACUUUGGUGUUUUCUUGUCCCAGGCUCCUUUCAACUUUGACUUUAACUUUAGAUCAAGCUUUUGUUCAAAUUACGCGUUUCCCCGACCUUUCUUCUUGGGUACCGCUAUCAGCUUAUCUCUUGUGUUCAUUUCUUGUGUUUGAGUGAUAAACCGAACGGGUUUCAAGGGCUUGAGCCCUUUUAAUGUGCGACUACUCUUCUUGAACCAAUCUCUAUAGGUGUAAAAACAUAUGAAACGGCACGCAGUGUAAAAAAAGGAGAAUGUGCAGGUCAUACCAAGACACCACGUUUCUCUCCUUUCGCAAUAGGGUCUACGUCCUCUAAGGUAAAGGGUACAUCGUUGACUCACUCUUGGCACAAUUGUAACUUUUAAAACUUAAUACAGUUGCUCACUUGAUGACUGUUCACCGUGUUGAACGAUACACGACAUAUGUUCCAACGUGGAACGACAGUGGCAGUGGUGAAGAGGGGCUCGUUCACGGAUACUAUGGAACUUUACAAUAUAAACUUCGCCACUCCAGAUUUUUAUAUGUGAAAACCUUUCUCAACAAGACAUACGUCGUAGGAUUCGGACUCUUUCGACCUUCGGACCUUCUCAAACUUAAUCAAAACCAACCCACCGGUCCCGUUAUCACGUUCUUUCUUAAGGAACAAAUUGUGAUAAAAUUUAAGAUAAAGGGAUAAAUUGUGACCUUUUUACAAAGAAGAGAUAGAUUGUGGUUGAAAUUUAAAACAAGGGUUACAUUGUGAAAGCAGGUAAAAACCUGGAUUGCCACAAUUUACCUUACACUUUCCUGUUCAAAUGGGAACCAAGACCGACGUUUUUGAGGAGCUUCGUCCCACCACCC